ACCUAAAAAAUCUACAAAAUCGUCAAUUCAAAAAAAAAAAAAAAAAAAAAAAAAAUCGUCAGCAAAAUCUUUAUCGGUCGGACCAGAAAGAUUUUACCGAAAACAGCAACGCGAGGUCGGUUCGUCUUUCACACCACCACCGCUACUACUACUACUACUACUACACCGGCUUUUUACAAAAUGCACGCGCUUCAACUUUCUCUCUACCUUCGCAAAAGUUUAAUCCUUGGGUUGCCGAUGUUUCACACUUUUUACCCCUCCAUCUUCUAACCAGUUCUGUACUGGUGAGAAAGCAGAAACUUUUACCCAUUGAAGAAAGAAUUUUCUUUAGGGAAAAGGGAAAAAAAGAAUAAUAAUAAACAGUUGGAUAGUUUGGAGUAGUGUGAUUGUUUGUGAGCUCAAAUGGGUACCAGUUCAGGUAGCAAAAAGGCUCGGACAUUUGAGGGGCUGGUGCUUCAGCAAGGUUGUUUUGAUGAUUUUAAGGAUGAUUCGAGGUUGAACAGGCGGUUGAGGAGAAAGUUAAAUGUGUUAGCUGCAAAUCAAAAUUCCAAGCGAAAGUCAAGUGGCAAUGCCCCAGGGAGAACAAGAGUAAAAAACAAAAUGCAUGUCGAAGAAGUAACAUCUGCAGGUGGUGUUAGAAACACAAUACGAGCUGAGGAAAUAAUAUCCCUGGAUGAUGUGUGUGAUGAAGAUGAUGAGAACGAUUCUGAUUAUGUAGCAUACUUAACGGAAGGUGUGCGGUCCAGUACUGAUGCUGCUACAUCUGUGCAAGAAGUUAGUGAUGAUGUUGAUGGUGAUAGUAAUGAAGACGAUUCUGAUUAUGUAAAUUAUUUAAAAUACUUAACGGAAGGUGAAAAGUCCUGUAAUGAUGCUAGAUCUGUGGAUGAAAUUGGUGAUGAUGGUCAUGAUUGCGAUUCUAGUUAUGAGGAAUGCUUAAGAAACUUGCUUGGAGAUGGAAAGUCCCAAAGUGAUGGUAGAUCUGUGGGUGAUGUACAUGAUGAUGUAGAUCCUGAUUAUAAGGUAUUCUUAGAAAAUGUGAAGAACGAUGAAAACUCCUAUGUACUGGAGGCUUUUGUUGGCGGUGAGAUUCUGGAUCCCAUAAUGUACGAGAAAGAUUCUGGUCCUCAAGACAUGCUCUAUUUAGAAACUGAAAAAACUUUGAAGAGCUGUUCAGUGAAUGGGAAGACUAGAGUUCAAAGAAGUUUGAGUGGGAUUUCUGGUAGAGAAAAUAUGAGGAUCACGAAUAGUAUAGAAGAUUGUGAAAACCCAAGAACAUUGAAAGAAGCACUGGAAGCUUCUAAUGAAGUGGUUCGUAGAAGAAGGGCAGUGAAGAGGAAUGCAAAUAAGAAAUGCUCAGGUCCUGUUUCUAUUAGGAUGCAAGGGUUUUCUAAUAUGACAUCUGGUUCAAAGGCUACUUGUUCGGCUAAGCAAGACAGCACUGGUAAUGCUGAAUCUGAUGGAGAAAUUUCCUAUUUGAAGUAUUUGAAUGGUCAUACAAUAGAUUGUGAAGUAGUAUCUGUAGGUCCAUCUGAUAACCCACUGAUAGUUGAUGAGGAUGAGAAGAGUGACUCUGAUUUAAAAGUAAUUGCAAUGGAUAAGGAUCCAUAUUGUAAUGAAGGUUAUACUCCAUUUGUAUCUGCAAGACCAUUUCAUGAGCGUCUUAUUCUGUUCUUGUUUGGACUUAAAAAGAUAGAAGCUGACGACUGGACAUGUGAUGGAAGUCUUACUACCAGUCACUCCCAGUUUAGAGAGAAGCUUAUGGAGAUUCUUAAAAGGCCCUAUGACUCGAAUGAGUGUAAAAAUCUUUUGAAAGAAGCAUCUUGUCGAAAGCCUAUAGUGCGAGAUAGAACUUUGCGUAGUGUGACAAAAUCAUAUAAAUCAGACUCCAUUGCCCAAUCAUAUCUUGAUUGGUGUACGGAUCUUGCAGAAAAAAUUGAUUUAGCAAGAGGUGAUCAACUUAGAACUUUGAAUCUUCUACGUGGAUUUUUCUACUGGUUGAAGUUCACAGACAAACCGUUUGUUGAAGAGGAUAGAUAGAUAGCAUUGCGAGGUCCGUUUGUUGAAGAGGAUAGAUAGGUAGCAUUGCGAGGUCUCCUUGAUUUUUUCCCUCUUUUUGUUCACGUGUUUGAUAUUCAUACUAUUCUGACCGGAAGAAGUUAAAUGAUAGGUUGUGGAUCUUGUUGAUGUUUUGGUGCAGCACUUGGAAGCUACUAGAAUUUGUCCCAGGAAGGAGCAUUCCGACCAUGGUUGGAUCCAAUAUGUUCAGAGGUGUUGCCGCCGUUGGAAUCACCUGUAGAUGACAAUGCAACAGUGGAAUCUGAGGAGUGAAUUGUAAGUUGUCAAUGAGGCAGGGUUGUGCAAAGCUGACUGCUGCAUAUAUUGUUGAGUGGAAGUUGGCUGUGAACUUUGGUUGUCUAAUUUUUGUACAUGCUAUCUUUUAUCCCAUUUUUGUUGUUACUAUCUUUAAUCCAAGGUUUCAUUACUCUCGAUAGAGUGGUGAUUUUUCA